GGAGGGGUCCACCAGCUUGUGUUUCUUUAAUGGAGCUGCAUCAUAAUGAGGCUGGAGGUGUUUCUCACAGAAUGAGAUCAGACAGACCAGACAGGACUUGAAGGCUUUCAGUUUUCUCCCAGUGCAGACAUCACAGGACACAUCUUCAGGUCCAGCAUAGCAGAGAUCAGCAGGAGCAGCUUGGAGUCCAGUCUUCUUCAGCUCCUCCACUAAAACUGCUAACAUGGUGUUUUUCACCAGGACAGGCCUCGGUGUGAAGGUCUGCCUACACUGAGGGCAGCUGUGGAUUUCCUUCUCAUCUUCAUCCCAGAAGCUUUUAAUACAGUUCAUGCAGUAGCUGUG